rnacentral:ncRNA from 2 species
AUUAAAUAUUUAUGUAAAGGUGUAGAAAAAAAUUAUCUACUUAAAAGGGAAAUAGGUUAAAAUCCUAUACGGUCCCGCCGCUGUAAUGGGGAGAGAUUUAAAAUUAAUGUCACUGAUUAUUUGGGAAGACUUUAAAUUUUUAUGAACCAGAGUCAGAAGACCUGCCUUUACUUAUGCACUAGG